CCUACGGGUGGCUGCAGUGGGGAAUUUUGGACAAUGGGCGCAAGCCUGAUCCAGCAAUGCCGCGUGUGUGAUGAAGGCCUUCGGGUUGUAAAGCACUUUUAGUGGGAACGCGGUACCCGCAGAAUAAGCACCGGCUAACUACGUGCCAGCAGCCGCGGUAAUACGUAGGGUGCAAGCGUUAAUCGGAAUUACUGGGCGUAAAGCGUGCGCAGGCGGUUUUGUAAGACCGAUGUGAAAUCCCCGGGCUUAACCUGGGAACUGCAUUGGUGACUGCAAGGCUUGAGUGUGUCAGAGGGAGGUGGAAUUCCGCGUGUAGCAGUGAAAUGCGUAGAUAUGCGGAGGAACACCGAUGGCGAAGGCAGCCUCCUGGAUACACUGACGCUCAUGCACGAAAGCGUGGGGAGCAAACAGGAUUAGAUACCCUUGUAGUC
rnacentral:rRNA from 1 species